GAUACUUUAAACACCCAAUUGAUUUUAUCAGCAAAACAUUUCAUACUUGAGUCAUUGGCUCAUUGCCCAUUAAUGGAGUGUUUUUUUUCGAAUUUUUAACCCAGAUUGAAGUUCCCUUCAUUGUUCUUUCGAAUCAGUCAGUGUUGUGGAUUUAACUAUAAUCAUAAACACCCAAUCGAUUAUCUUUUAUCAUUUUUGAGCUCUGAAAUAACCUAUAGUUAAAGAAUCUCAUUAAUGGAGACUCGAACGGUUAUCAAUAAUGGAGGAUUUUGAAGUUUUCCACCAAAACCUUCUUCUAUUCGGAAUUUUUCAAUAGGAAAGCACCAUUUCUCAAGGCAAUAUGGUAGUGCCAUUAUCUAUGAGCAGCAAUAUCUAUAGAUGCAUACCAAUUUUUUAAAUGUUUCUCCCACAAAAUGAUCAAUUGAACAUCUUUCGAAGAACUGCGGUCAGCCAUACUGCAAAUGCAGUUGGAAGAACCCGUUCGACGAUGCAAUUCAAAGUAACUCGGAGAAAAAAUUGACUGAACAAUGUUGAAGCUUAACAAAGAAUAAGAGCUUCGUCCAAGAGAUUGCAUUUUAAUUAUGAAUUUGAUCAUACUAUGGAUGCUCUUCUUCCUGUUGAGACAACAGGUAUAGUUUUAAUCAAUAAUCUUACAUGCUUUCAUGAUUUUGUUGCGGAUACCUUGCAAAAUUAGUUGUAGGAACAAGUGUUUCUAUUAUUUGUAGUUUUAUUUAAAGAAGACCCUAACGACUAUUCUUUUCUUUACUUUUUUAACAAUAAUAAUCUAUUCAUAUUAUAUUUUCUACCGUGA